UUGACCUCAAAUCGGGUGAGACUACCCGCUGAACUUAAGCAUAUCAAUAAGCGGAGGAAAAGAAACUAACAAGGAUUCCCCUAGUAACUGCGAGUGAAGCGGGAAAAGCUCAAAUUUAAAAUCUGGUGGUCUUUGGCCAUCCGAGUUGUAAUUUAGAGAAG
rnacentral:rRNA from 1 species